GCAGCCAGUUCACAGCAGCAUACAUGGGUUAUCCUUGUUGGAGAAGAAGAAUGGUAAGGGUCCGGAUUUUUGGUCUUGCUGGUGUUGAAAUUAUUGUGGAUGUGUUCUGUUGAGUAAAAGAUGCAUGAAUGUAACUUGGUGUAUGAAUUGAAGGAAGGUUGAUUUAAGAUGACUUUUACUUUGGGUAAAUGCUUAAACAGAUUGGUAAUUGAGAUUGGAUCUAUUUGGUCGUGUAUUGUUUGUACUGAUUGAAGUUAAGGUUUCACCAAGUGCAAAUUAAGAUUUGGUGCUGCUUAAAUGUUUAAGUGGUUCUAUGAUUGA
rnacentral:lncRNA from 1 species